rnacentral:rRNA from 2 species
AAUGGACGCAAGUCUGAUGGAGCAACGCCGCGUGAGUGAAGAAGGCUUUCGGGUCGUAAAACUCUGUUGUUGGAGAAGAAUGGUCGGCAGAGUAACUGUUGUCGGCGUGACGGUAUCCAACCAGAAAGCCACGGCUAACUACGUGCCAGCAGCCGCGGUAAUACGUAGGUGCAAGCGUUAUCCGGAUUUAUUGGGCGUAAAGCGAGCGCAGGCGGUUUUUUAAGUCUGAUGUGAAAGCCCUCGGCUUAACCGAGGAAGUGCAUCGGAAACUGGGAAACUUGAGUGCAGAAGAGGACAGUGGAACUCCAUGUGUAGCGGUGAAAUGCGUAGAUAUAUGGAAGAACACCAGUGGCGAAGGCGGCUGUCUGGUCUGUAACUGACGCUGAGGCUCGAAAGCAUGGGUAGCGAACAGGAUUAGAUACCCUGGUAGUCCAUGCCGUAAACGAUGAAUGCUAGGUGUUGGAGGGUUUCCGCCCUUCAGUGCCGCAGCUAACGCAUUAAGCAUUCCGCCUGGGGAGUACGACCGCAAGGUUGAAACUCAAAGGAAUUGACGGGGGCCCGCACAAGCGGUGGAGCAUGUGGUUUAAUUCGAAGCAACGCGAAGAACCUUA